rnacentral:ncRNA from 1 species
CAGCCUGAGCUCAGUCGUGAUUACCCGAUGAACUUAAGCAUAUCACUUAGCGGAGGAAAAGAAACUAACAAGGAUUCCCUCAGUAACGGCAGGUGAAUAGGGAGGAGCCCAGCGCUCAAUCUCUCGGUAUUACAUCGCUGAGAAAUGUAGCGUAUAGGUGUGGCUUUCAGUUUGUGCUGCAUGUUCAAAGUCCCUUUGGUAGGGGCCACAUUCCUGAGAGGGUGCGAGACCUGUGGGACAGUGUAACAAGCUCUACGGUCAUAUCUUGGAGCGGGGUUGCUUGAAAGUGCAGCCUAAAGUGGAUGACAAACUUCAUCUAAGGCUAAAUAUAGACGCG